GCCACCUACUCGCCUCCCUGACUCACUUGUAGACUGUCGGGCGCUGACACACACGCAAUGAGGUCGUCAAAGCUGGUGGUCCCUACGCUCAUAUUUGUGCUUUGCCCUGUCUGGAUAUAUAUAGAAGAGAGGCUGUGAGAAGAAAUUAUUUUCAGGAGAAAAAGGAUUGGAGUUUUAUUAAAUGUCUUCAUGUUAAUCAUCAUAUUUUAAUCACACACCUUCCCUAUGGAGUAACAGAAUGGGAGAAGUUAAGCUGUGUGCUCAAGAUCACAUGGCUAGGAAGCAACUUACUGAAGAAGUACAGCUCUUUUGCUGGUUAAGCCUGGACAGGUCUUUUCUUAGCUCCCAGAGAUUAUACUGGUAAAAGCAGAGCUAAGGCUUGACUCCAACCCUCCUGAUGCCUGUCCUGUGCUUCUCUACACUAAGCUGACCUAUCCUUUAAUGAAGAGCCUUCAA